AUUGAACGCUGGCGGCAUGCUUUACACAUGCAAGUCGAACGGCAGCGCGGGCUUCGGCCUGGCGGCGAGUGGCGAACGGGUGAGUAAUGCAUCGGAACGUGCCCAGUAGUGGGGGAUAGCCCGGCGAAAGCCGGAUUAAUACCGCAUACGACCUGAGGGUGAAAGCGGGGGACCGAAAGGCCUCGCGCUAUUGGAGCGGCCGAUGUCGGAUUAGCUAGUUGGUGGGGUAAAGGCUUACCAAGGCGACGAUCCGUAGCUGGUCUGAGAGGACGACCAGCCACACUGGGACUGAGACACGGCCCAGACUCCUACGGGAGGCAGCAGUGGGGAAUUUUGGACAAUGGGGGCAACCCUGAUCCAGCCAUGCCGCGUGCGUGAAGAAGGCCUUCGGGUUGUAAACCGCUUUUGUUCGGGAAGAAAUCCUCUGGGCUAAUACCCCGGGGGGAUGACGGUACCGGAAGAAUAAGCACCGGCUAACUACGUG
rnacentral:rRNA from 1 species